rnacentral:sRNA from 1 species
AUUAUUAUUUUGAGAUGGAGUUUUUGCCCUUGUUACCCAGGCUUGAGUGCAAUGGUGUGAUUUCAGCUCACCGCAACCUCCGCCUCCUGGGUUCAAGCGAUUCUUCUGCCUCAGCCUCCGCCUCCUGAGUAGCUGGGAUUACAGGCAUGCGCCACCAUGCCCAGCUAAUUUUGUAUUUUUAGUAGAGACGGGGUUCUCCAUGUUGGUCAGGCUGGUCUCAAACUCCUGCCCUUAGGUGAUCUGCCUGCCUCAGCCUCCCAAAGUGCUGGGAUUACAGCUGUGAGCCACUGCGCCUGGCCCAGAUUAUUUUUUUAAUUGAAUUGAAUUGUCUUCCAUAGGGACUGCUGAGAUGUCCUCUAUUCUUGAAGAGCGUAUUCUUGGAGCUGAUACCUCUGUUGAUCUUGAAGAAACUGGGCGUGUCUUAAGUAUUGGUGAUGGUAUUGCCCGCGUACAUGGGCUGAGGAAUGUUCAAGCAGAAGAAAUGGUAGAGUUUUCUUCAGGCUUAAAGGGUAUGUCCUUGAACUUGGAACCUGACAAUGUUGGUGUUGUCGUGUUUGGAAAUGAUAAACUAAUUAAGGAAGGAGAUAUAGUGAAGAGGACAGGAGCCAUUGUGGACGUUCCAGUUGGUGAGGAGCUGUUGGGUCGUGUAGUUGAUGCCCUUGGUAAUGCUAUUGAUGGAAAGGGUCCAAUUGGUUCCAAGACGCGUAGGCGAGUUGGUCUGAAAGCCCCCGGUAUCAUUCCUCGAAUUUCAGUGCGGGAACCAAUGCAGACUGGCAUUAAGGCUGUGGAUAGCUUGGUGCCAAUUGGUCGUGGUCAGCGUGAGCUGAUUAUUGGUGACCGACAGACUGGGUAAAGACUCAAAAGCAUAUUAAAAGUUCUAACUAAAAUUUGCUCAAUGGAAGGAUUAUAUUUUAGUCUUGGAAUGGUAAAUGGUAAUGGGGACAUUAGAAUCUAAUACGAGGAUUAAUAGUAAAAUUUCAGCUGGG